rnacentral:rRNA from 1 species
UGGCUAACUCCUACGGGAGGCAGCAGUGGGGAAUAUUGCACAAUGGGCGAAAGCCUGAUGCAGCAACGCCGCGUGAGGGAUGACGGCCUUCGGGUUGUAAACCUCUUUUAGUAGGGAAGAAGCGAAAGUGACGGUACCUGCAGAAAAAGCACCGGCUAACUACGUGCCAGCAGCCGCGGUAAUACGUAGGGUGCAAGCGUUGUCCGGAAUUAUUGGGCGUAAAGAGCUCGUAGGCGGUUUGUCGCGUCUGCUGUGAAAUCCCGAGGCUCAACCUCGGGUCUGCAGUGGGUACGGGCAGACUAGAGUGUGGUAGGGGAGAUUGGAAUUCCUGGUGUAGCGGUGGAAUGCGCAGAUAUCAGGAGGAACACCGAUGGCGAAGGCAGAUCUCUGGGCCAUUACUGACGCUGAGGAGCGAAAGCAUGGGGAGCGAACAGGAUUAGAUACCCCUGUAGUCCAGCUGG